UACGUAGGGACCAAGCGUUGUUCGGAUUUACUGGGCGUAAAGGGCGCGUAGGCGGCGUGGUAAGUCACUUGUGAAAUCUCCGAGCUUAACUCGGAACGGUCAAGUGAUACUGCUGUGCUAGAGUACAGAAGGGGCAAUCGGAAUUCUUGGUGUAGCGGUGAAAUGCGUAGAUAUCAAGAGGAACACCUGAGGUGAAGACGGGUUGCUGGGCUGAUACUGACGCUGAGGCGCGAAAGCGUGGGGAGCGAACAGG
rnacentral:rRNA from 1 species